UACGUAGGGUGCAAGCGUUAAUCGGAAUUACUGGGCGUAAAGCGUGCGCAGGCGGCUUUGCAAGACAGAUGUGAAAUCCCCGGGCUCAACCUGGGAACUGCAUUUGUGACUGGCAGGCUAGAGUAUGGCAGAGGGGGGUAGAAUUCCACGUGUAGCAGUGAAAUGCGUAGAGAUGUGGAGGAAUACCGAUGGCGAAGGCAGCCCCUGGGCCAAUACUGACGCUCAUGC
rnacentral:rRNA from 1 species